rnacentral:rRNA from 1 species
GACGAACGCUGGCGGCGUGCCUAAUACAUGCAAGUCGAGCGAAGCGGCGGAUGGGUGAGUACCGCGUGGGUAACAUGCCCAUAAGUCUGGGAUACCAUUUGGAAACAGAUGCUAAUACCGGAUACUUAAGGAUGGACCGGCGAUGCAUUAGCUAGUUGGUCAGGUAACGGCUUACCAAGGCGAUGAUGCAUAGCUGGUGUGAGAGGCUGAACGGCCACACUGGGACUGAGACACGGCCCAAACUCCUACGGGAGGCAGCAGUAGGGAAUCUUCCACAAUGGGCGAAAGUCUGAUGGAGCAACGACGCGUGAGUGAAGAAGGUGUUCGGAUCGUAAAGCUCUGUUGUUGGGGAAGCGGUAAUCAACCAGAAAGUAACGGCUAACUACGUGCCAGCCGCCGCGGUAAUAC